GACGAACGCUGGCGGCGUGCUUAACACAUGCAAGUCGAACGAAAAGAGGGAAAGAGCUUGCUCUUUCCGGAAUUGAGUGGCAAACGGGUGACUAACACGUAAACAACCUGCCUUCAGGAUGGGGACAACAGACGGAAACGACUGCUAAUACCGAAUAAGUUCCAAGAGCCGCAUGGCCCAUGGAAGAAAAGGUGGCCUCUACCUGUAAGCUAUCGCCUGAAGAGGGGUUUGCGUCUGAUUAGCUGGUUGGAGGGGUAACGGCCCACCAAGGCGACGAUCAGUAGCCGGUCUGAGAGGAUGAACGGCCACACUGGAACUGAGACACGGUCCAGACUCCUACGGGAGGCAGCAGUGGGGAAUCUUCCGCAAUGGGCGAAAGCCUGACGGAGCAACGCCGCGUGAGUGAUGACGGCCUUCGGGUUGUAAAACUCUGUGAUCCGGGACGAAAAGGCAGAGUGCGAAGAACAAACUGCAUUGACGGUACCGGAAAAGCAAGCCACGGCUAACUACGUG
rnacentral:rRNA from 1 species